rnacentral:rRNA from 1 species
GACGAGCGCUGGCGGCGUGCCUAAUACAUGCAAGUAGAACGCUGAAGGAGGAGCUUGCUUCUCUGGAUGAGUUGCGAACGGGUGAGUAACGCGUAGGUAACCUGCCUGGUAGCGGGGGAUAACUAUUGGAAACGAUAGCUAAUACCGCAUAAGAGUAGAUGUUGCAUGACAUUUGCUUAAAAGGUGCAAUUGCAUCACUACCAGAUGGACCUGCGUUGUAUUAGCUAGUUGGUGGGGUAACGGCUCACCAAGGCGACGAUACAUAGCCGACCUGAGAGGGUGAUCGGCCACACUGGGACUGAGACACGGCCCAGACUCCUACGGGAGGCAGCAGUAGGGAAUCUUCGGCAAUGGACGGAAGUCUGACCGAGCAACGCCGCGUGAGUGAAGAAGGUUGUCGGAUCGUAAAGCUCUGUUGUAAGAGAAGAACGAGUGUGAGAGUGGAAAGUUCACACUGUGACGGUAUCUGACCAGAAAGGGACGGCUAACUACGUG